UAGGGAAUCUUCGGCAAUGGGCGAAAGCCUGACCGAGCAACGCCGCGUGAGCGAUGAAGGCCUUCGGGUCGUAAAGCUCUGUUGUUAGAGAAGAACAAGUACGAGAGUAACUGCUCGUACCUUGACGGUACCUAACCAGAAAGCCACGGCUAACUACGUGCCAGCAGCCGCGGUAAUACGUAGGUGGCAAGCGUUAUCCGGAACUAUUGGGCGUAAAGCGCGCGCAGGCGGUCUCUUAAGUCUGAUGUGAAAGCCCACGGCUCAACCGUGGAGGGUCAUUGGAAACUGGGAGACUUGAGUGCAGGAGAGAAAAGUGGAAUUCCACGUGUAGCGGUGAAAUGCGUAGAGAUGUGGAGGAACACCAGUGGCGAAGGCGGCUUUUUGGCCUGUAACUGACGCUGAGGCGCGAAAGCGUGGGGAGCAAACAGGAUUAGAUACCCUGGUAGUCCACGCCGUAAACGAUGAGUGCUAGGUGUU
rnacentral:rRNA from 1 species